rnacentral:rRNA from 1 species
GAUGAACGCUGGCGGCGUGCCUAAUACAUGCAAGUCGAGCGAACAGACGAGGAGCUUGCUCCUUUGACGUUAGCCGCGGACGGGUGAGUAACACGUGGAAAAUCUACCUAUAAGACUGGGAUAACUUCGGGAAACCGGCGCUAAUACCGGAUAAACUGUUGAACCGCAUGGUUCAACAGUGAAAGACGGUCUUUCUGUCUCUUAUAGCUGGAUCGGCGCCGCAUUCGCUAGUUGGUAAGGUAACGGCUUAUCAAGGCAACGAUGCGUAGCCGACCUCAGAGGGUGAUAGGCCGCACUGGAGCUGAGACGCGGUCCAUGGUCCUACGGUAGGCAGCAGUAGGGAAUCUUCCGCAAUAGUCGAGAGCCUUACGGAGCAACGCCGCGUGAGUGAAGAAGGUCUUCGGAUCGGAAAACUCGGUUAUGAGUUAAGAACAAAUGUGGAAGUAACUAUGCACGUCGUGACGGUAACUAAUCAGAAAGCCACGGCUAACUACGUG